GACGAACGCUGGCGGCGUGCCUAAUACAUGCAAGUAGAACGCACAGAUUAUACCCUUGCUUGCUACACCAUAGACUCUGAGUUGCGAACGGCUGAUUGAUGCGCAGGUAAUCUGCCUGGGAUCGGGUGAGGACUAUGGAGCACAAUAGCUAAUAUCUCUUAAUAUUAAUUAUUCCAUGAUAAUUAAUUGAAUUGUGCAAUUUCAUCACUACCAGCUGGACCUGCGUUGUAUUAGCUAGUAGGGCAGGUAACGGGUCACCUAGGCGAAGAUACAUAGCCGACCUGGGAGGGUGAUCGGCCAACCUGGGACUGAGACACGGGUCAGACUCCUACGGGAGGGAGCAGUAGGGAAUCUUCGGCAAUGGAGGAAAGUCUGAACGAGGAACGGCGCGGGGGUGAAGAAGGUUUUCGGGUCGGAAAGAUCUGUUGUAAGGGAAGAACGGGUGUGGGAGUGGAAAGUUCACGCUGUGACGGUAGCUUACCAGAAAGGGACGGCUAACUACGUG
rnacentral:rRNA from 1 species